rnacentral:rRNA from 1 species
AGUGAGCGGCAAAAGCUCAAAUUUGAAAUCUGGUACCUUCGGUGCCCGAGUUGUAAUUUGGAGAGGGCAACUUUGGGGCCGUUCCUUGUCUAUGUUCCUUGGAACAGGACGUCAUAGAGGGUGAGAAUCCCGUGUGGCGAGGAGUGCGGUUCUUUGUAAAGUGCCUUCGAAGAGUCGAGUUGUUUGGGAAUGCAGCUCUAAGUGGGUGGUAAAUUCCAUCUAAAGCUAAAUAUUGGCGAGAGACCGAUAGCGAACAAGUACAGUGAUGGAAAGAUGAAAAGAACUUUGAAAAGAGAGUGAAAAAGUACGUGAAAUUGUUGAAAGGGAAGGGCAUUUGAUCAGACAUGGUGUUUUGUGCCCUCUGCUCCUUGUGGGUAGGGGAAUCUCGCAUUUCACUGGGCCAGCAUCAGUUUUGGUGGCAGGAUAAAUCCAUAGGAAUGUAGCUUGCCUCGGUAAGUAUUAUAGCCUGUGGGAAUACUGCCAGCUGGGACUGAGGACUGCSACGUAAGUCAAGGAUGCUGGCAUA